rnacentral:rRNA from 1 species
GAUGAACGCUGGCGGCGUGCCUAAUACAUGCAAGUCGAGCGAACAGACGAGGAGCUUGCUCCUCUGACGUUAGCGGCGGACGGGUGAGUAACACGUGGAUAACCUACCUAUAAGACUGGGAUAACUUCGGGAAACCGGAGCUAAUACCGGAUAAUAUAUUGAACCGCAUGGUUCAAUAGUGAAAGACGGUUUUGCUGUCACUUAUAGAUGGAUCCGCGCCGCAUUAGCUAGUUGGUAAGGUAACGGCUUACCAAGGCAACGAUGCGUAGCCGACCUGAGAGGGGGAUCGGCCGCACUGGAACUGAGACACGGUCCAGACUCCUACGGGAGGCAGCAGUAGGGAAUCUUCCGCAAUGGGCGAAAGCCUGACGGAGCGACGCCGCGUGAGUGAUGAAGGUCUUCGGAUCGUAAUACUCUGUUAUUAGGGAAGAACAAAUGUGUAAGUAACUAUGCACGUCUUGACGGUACCUAAUCAGAAAGCCACGGCUAACUACGUG